rnacentral:rRNA from 1 species
UACGUAGGGGGCAAGCGUUGUCCGGAUUUAUUGGGCGUAAAGAGCGUGUAGGCGGUCAGGUAGGUCGGUUGUGAAAACUGGAGGCUCAACCUUCAGAGGUCGACCGAAACCCCCUGGCUAGAGUCCGGGAGAGGAGAGUGGAAUUCCUGGGUGUAGCGGUGAAAUGCGCAGAUAUCAGGAAGAACACCCGUGGCGAAAGCGGCUCUCUGGAACGGUACUGACGCUGAGACGCGAAAGCGUGGGGAGCGAACAGG